rnacentral:misc_RNA from 1 species
GUAGGUGAACCUGCGGAAGGAUCAUUAACAAAUUUCCAAACCCACCCCCCGCCUCCCUGAUCUUGGUCUUUUCUUGGAUUGGAUUCAUUUUCCAGUUCAGAUCGGACCAGAUCAGGAGGUCUCUCUCAAAAACACACUCGUGAAUUUGUCAUUCUAUUCUCCUUUGCUCUCUUCUUCUUCUUAUUCUUCUUCUCUCUGCUCUGCUCUCUGCUCUCCUCUCUCUCGCUCGCUCCCACAUGUGAAAGUGUGU